AUAUCAAUAAGCGGAGGAAAAGAAACUAACGAGGAUUCCCCUAGUAACGGCGAGUGAAGCGGGAAUAGCUCAAAUUUGAAAUCUCAUGGGUUUUUUACCUAUGCGAAUUGUAGUUUAGGGAAGUGUUUUCGGAGGCAAGUCAGAUAAAAGUCCCUUGGAACAGGGCAUCAUAGAGGGUGAGAAUCCCGUCUUUGAUCUGAACUUUGUCUCUAUGUGAUACACUUUCCAAGAGUCGGGUUGUUUGGGAAUGCAGCCCAAAAUGGGUGGUAAAUUUCUUCUAAAGCUAAAUACCGGCCAGAGACCGAUAGCGCACAAGUA
rnacentral:rRNA from 1 species